rnacentral:lncRNA from 1 species
AUACGACACAAUUGUUUGUCAUAUGUUUACUUGAAUUAUGGUAUUUGCAAUACACCUUCCCUUUAAGCUCUUCGGCCUUGGGAAUGUUGUGACCAGGCCGAAGUUUGAUAAUCCUUGCUGACAACAGUUGAUCAAAAAUUGCGUCAGCCUUUGUAAUAUCAAAAGUAUACACUUUUGACGGUUUCAAUGUUCCUUCAGUGGCCGAGCGGCUUUUGACUUCCCUGGAGUCAA